rnacentral:rRNA from 1 species
GACGAACGCUGGCGGCGUGCUUAACACAUGCAAGUCGAACGGAAAGGCCCUGCUUUUGUGGGGUGCUCGAGUGGCGAACGGGUGAGUAACACGUGAGUAACCUGCCCUUGACUUUGGGAUAACUUCAGGAAACUGGGGCUAAUACCGGAUAGGAGCUCCUGCUGCAUGGUGGGGGUUGGAAAGUUUCGGCGGUUGGGGAUGGACUCGCGGCUUAUCAGCUUGUUGGUGGGGUAGUGGCUUACCAAGGCUUUGACGGGUAGCCGGCCUGAGAGGGUGACCGGCCACAUUGGGACUGAGAUACGGCCCAGACUCCUACGGGAGGCAGCAGUGGGGAAUAUUGCACAAUGGGCGGAAGCCUGAUGCAGCAACGCCGCGUGCGGGAUGACGGCCUUCGGGUUGUAAACCGCUUUCGCCUGUGACGAAGCGUGAGUGACGUAAUGGUAAAGAAGC